CACACGUACCCAUCCCGAACACGACCGUUAAGCCCUCCAGCGCCAAUGGUACUUGGACCGCAGGGUCCUGGGAGAGUAGGACGUCGCCAAGC
rnacentral:rRNA from 1 species